rnacentral:rRNA from 1 species
UGAGGAAUUUUGGACAAUGGGGGAAACCCUGAUCCAGCGACGCCGCGUGGAGGACGAAGGUCUUCGGAUUGUAAACUCCUUUUAUCUGAGAAUAAGAAACUCCAAGAAAUUGGAGGAGUGAAUGUAUCAGAUGAAUAAGCCACGGCUACCUUCGUGCCAGCAGCCGCGGUAAUACGAAGGUGGCAAGCGUUACUCGGAAUGACUAGGCGUAAAGGGCAGGUAGGUGGUUUGGUAAGUCUGUUGUGAAAGCUCCUGGCUUAACCGGGAGAGGCCAACAGAUACUACUGAACUGGAGUAUGGGAGAGGGUACUGGAAUUCCCGGUGUAGCGGUGAAAUGCGCAGAUAUCGGGAGGAACACCAAUGGCGAAAGCAAGUGCCUGGACCAUUACUGACACUCAGCUGCGAAAGCUAGGGGAGCAAACA